rnacentral:lncRNA from 1 species
UUCUCACGUUAUGUGCUGACAUAGGGAAGAUAUAAGUUGGGUGUAGCCUGCCUCUCUCUUUCUCUCUCUCUCUCUCUCUCUCUCUCUCUCUCUCUCUCUCUCUCUCUCUCUCUCUCUCUCUCUCUCUCUAGGUGAUCUUGUGUUGUGGAGGCAAGGGGACAGAAAAGAAGCUUGAGACAUAGGUGCUAUUUUAUAGGAAUUUAAAGCUGGAAAAUGACAUAAUCACAAAACCUUUCAACUGGAACCCUCCUUGGAGACCAUUUUGUGGAAUUCAUACCCAAACAAGGAUCUCCACCCCAACCCAACCAAGUUAUGUUCAGAGUUGAUUAACCAGGCUUUGUUCUCAGAAAGUAAAGGCAAGGGAUCCAGGAGAAAAAAAAAACACUAUUCAUAAGCAAAGGAUAAACUAUGGGAGUGGAAACACCGAGGAAAAGCAACUGCCUGAAUACAGCGGUUGAGGGGACA